UUUCUCUUGGACUUACGACGCAUCAUACGCCAAUGGACGGAACUACGGCAUAUCACUUCAUGAACUCAUGGGCUGAGAUGGCGCGUGGCAUUCCUAUUAGCGUUCCACCAAUCUUUGAUCGAACUAUACUAGAUGUUGGAGUCCCAACUUCUCCAUCAUUUCACCACAUCGAAUACGAUCCCCCUCCUUCCAUGAAUACUCCUACUCAAAAUCCUCAAGCCAUUUCCACUACAAUCCUGAAAUUAUCACCUGAUCAAAUGAACAUCCUUAAAGAAAAAUCUAAGGGAGAUCACGGAUCCACUGUCAAGUAUACUAGAUUUGAGAUUGUAACAGCACAUAUAUGGCGCUGCCCAUGUAAAGCACGAGGGUUGUCUGUUGAUCAAGCUACCAAGUUAGAGAUUCCCACAUCUGGGCGAUUUAAAUUGAAUCCUAAAAUUCCACUUGGGUAUUGUGGCAAUGUAAACUUCAGGGCCACACCAAUGGCCUUGUCAGGUGAUAUUCAAUCGGAAUCAUUAAAUUGUACAACAGAGAGAAUUCAUGAAGCAAUUAAAUUGAGGGAUGACAAGUAUAUGAAUGGGGUCGGCCGGUGUUUACGAUGCCUUUGUUCGGCAUGGACGGAGAUGUUUUCAUUUUACCGGGUCCAACCAAUGAUGGGAGCUGGUUGGUGGUUGUAGACAUGGAAACUAACCACUUGCAGCACUUCAACAAGUAUUUUUAUGAUAUCUUUCCGUAAUCCCACGAUGUAAUAUCUUUGGGUGUUGUGUUGAUACUAACCAUCUUAUUAUUUGCUGGUAUGUUUGUAAUAACGAACACCCUUUUGUCCUUUCGAAAUGAUUAAUGAACUGCUUGAAUGCAUUGAAUAUAGAGAGCUGCUAAAACUGAGAAUUGGAGAAUUGAUGAUCAUACAAAAGCUUAUCUCAGGCAUCAUUCACGACUUUGGACUGGACAGCCAAGAAAAUUCUGUUAGCUUAUAGGAUAAUAGCGUCAAGGCCCCUAAGUUUCUGCCUCUUAUUAACCAAAUUACAUUUUCUUCUAUUUCUCAAAUAUGCCCAUAAUCCCGGCAAAAAUAUAACUGAAAUAACUUUUGUAUCGUUAUGAUCUAAUACAACUAUGAUAAAAAAAUCUAUUUUCGAUAAAAACGUACAAAUUAUAAGUAACUUUGUUCUUCAUUCAACAAAACAAGAAAACUUGAAAACACAAACUCAGUCAAAUUUUUCAGUAACAGUUUUAUCUCUCGCCAAAGCAGAGUGUUAAGACAUUAAAGGCAAUCUCAUUGAAACAUAUAAAACCAUGCGCAAUAAUAAUUUUUUAACUUAAAACUUUAUGAAUUAUGAUUGGUGAUUGCAAUGCGGACUUACUGAACAACACAGGUCAAAACUCAAUUAAAAAAUAAUAAUACAUCAAUUUCAAGCCCAACGUCGUCAUCUGAAACACUACAAAGAAAAUUCUAAUCAAACACCAAUAGAUGAACCAUCACUUGGUUAGUAUCAGAACCUUAUUCUUAGCACAGAUGUUUAAUAUUAGAUAAUUAUUAGCUCAUUAAAGCUGUACUCGGAUAAAAAUGGCAGUAAAAAGACACUGAUAAUAUUGUCUUCAAAACAGGCAAGAGCAACAUCUUGACUGUCAACUUACAAGACACCAAACAAACUAGGAAACUGCAUCACUUCAAAACUCUAACAUGACGGUUAAACUGUUUGCUCAGCUUGUAAGAUUUAAAUCACAUUUACAUUUACAGGAAUCCUCCCUUGGGCAUCACAUCAAAACUCUAACAUGACGGUUAAACUGUUCGCUCAGCUUGUAAGAUUUAAAUCACAUUUACAGUAUGAUGCCCAAGGGAGGAUUCCUGUUUCACUAUAUGGCCUGAGUACAGUCUUCUCACAAUAUGUUCCAAUGAAAAAUUAAAGUUAUAUUGAACCAACCUAUUUCUGGAAUGAUAUUGAGUAGGUGCCAGUGUUCGGAUCUUUAACAGCUUUGAAGUUGUUGGUGCUCAUCCCAAAACGGCCCAGGAUAGAGUUACCCAUUUCUUUUAGCUUUCCUGCUCAAAGGAAACAAUUUCACAUUUUGGUUAAUGAAUAACUGAUGAAGCAUGCACACAAAAGCAUAAGAAAUGUCGGAUGAAAAUUGUAGCCUAGAUGUUUGUCAAGACGAAGAAUUAGGUAAUCUAAUUAUAUAUAACCAUUAUUCUAAUACAAAUCCUUUUCUGACAACACAACUCCCCCACCCUCUGUGUGUACCGAUGAUAACCCUUCAAAUAAAAUGACUUCACUGUAUGACUAGUAGGAAAUGGCUCUGCACAUACCAAAGCAUGAGCACAGGCAUAGAAUCCUUGUUUGUCAAAGGUGUGUCAUACCCAAAAAAUUAUAUAAAAAAGAGAAAAAAGAAGACAUCAAACAGGACCAAACAACCAUUGAGGAUCAUAUAAAAUAUCUCUUUUCAGUAGUGUGGUCGGUAUUAAACUUCAAACUUUGAAAUACUUCCUCCACACUCAAAUUGAAUUUUCUACACCCUCCGAAAACUUCUGUUUAAUCCUCACAUUUAAUUGAAAGAUGUUGGGGGUAAAGCAGAUUCUAUAAACAAGUAACAACUAUCACUUCCCAUGCAUGUUAUGUUCCAAAACCAAUUAAUUCUUUCGAUCAUCAAACACCUAGUCCUUACAGACUAUCUCAAGGAAGCAUGCUCAAAAUCUCAUUCACAACAAUAACUUCACUUAGUCCAACCUACAAUUUUAAUUAAUUAAUCUUCUCUUUCCAUUAUCUGUUCCAACUUCUAGCUGCAUGUAAGAAUUCAUCUACUUCUUACUCGGAGGUAUUAACGGACCAUCAUAAAAAGCAGUUUGCAAAGACAUGAAAUUGCAUAUGGCUAUGAGUUCUCAACAAUGUAACAACAAAUAUACUAUAAAGGCACUAAUAAUAAGGGUGAACUGGUUAAAAAGUAAUGAAAAAACGAAGUCUAGAUGCCUCAUUCAUUUGCUCCAAUUGAUGAAGAUGGAGAAUGGUGUGCCUCAGAAACAGUCUUAAAUUUUUGUUUCAACGUCUUCCAACAACCAACUCUGCAGGCAGAGAUGUAUCUCCGUGAUGCAGGAUGCACAUGUAUUUGGGUGGAAACAAGUGGACUUGCUAAUGAGAAGCAAGAGAGUUCCAUCAGCGUACACUCAAUUUGGGUUAAAGGUCUUGAUGGAACCUUAUUUCACCAAGAGAUCUUCAGUCCUUAUAUGAUUGUAAAUUCCUAUUUCUGUAUCGACAGCUUUCUUUACUGCCAUUUAUAUCAUUCUUUGAUACGCACUAAUGUUUCACAGUUUCUUAAUGAGAAGAAAAUGAAAUCGCAGAAGAAAAUCAUUGCCAAGCUUACCAAUCAUCUCUUCCUUCAUCUUUUCAAGUUUUUCCUCUGCCAGUGGCUGCAAACGAAGAAUGGUUCUCUUGGCUUGAUUAUUUGAAGGAUCAAAUUCCAAGAUUUUCUUCAUCUGUGAUAGAAAAAAUGAAGAAAAGUUCAAAGAAAAUGACAUUUGAAAUUAGAAGUAGUUAUGAAGGUGCCACAAAUCAGCCUGUGAAAUGUAAAGAACUUCAUGGAAGGUCGACAAAAAAAUACAAGACUCAGGGUUCAAAACCAAACUACAUAAUCCAACAUAGAAUGAACAAGAAACUAAAACGUAUUUGUUAUGUGAAUGACAACAAUCAUCAAAUCCUGAAUACCAGCAAUAGCCUCUUCAAAGUGUUCAAGCUUUUCAUGUGCCUCUGCUCUUCUGAUCAGAGCUUUCAUAUAUGUAGGAUUAAGCUCCAAUGCCUUUGUGCAUUCUUUGAUAGACUCCUCGAAUUUUCCCUAAUGUAAAUUAUCAUCAAUCUGGAGUUAGAAAGACUAUAGGAAUCUUGGAUGCAAAACAAACAGCAUGAACCGCAGAUUCCACAGGAUAAACAAAAGUUGGCAGAUUUUAAAAUAUGAAGUACUUCUCCAUAAAUUUCUAUCUUCAUUUACCAUCUGAACUUGAACAUCAUCAUGUCUAUUUGAUAACAAUACAACAAAUCAGAAGGAGAAAGGAUCAGAUCCACUCAAAGUAAACUCCAAAGGUAAUAGUAAAAUGAACUACUAUAGAGAAUAAGGUUUUCGGAAUCUAAUAAAAAAAAUGCAUUAUAAACAAUGCUAAACAAACCGGGAUGAAAUCAGAACAUAAACAAACAGACUGACUGACAGAACUCAAAAACAUCAAAUGCCUCAUGCUUUACUAAUUUCUUCUUUAGUAACAACGCUGUCACAUUUAGCAAUUCACAUUUUCUAAAUCCUUUAAUACUUUAGGAUGCACAAACAAAACAAAGUGUUGUUAUUGAAUGAAAUGUGGAUAAAAGAGUAACAUACAAGCUUCAAAAAGCAUAUUCCACGAUUUGAAUGGCAUAUGGAACGCAGCUCUGCCAUUUCCGGCGCCGUCGCCACUUCCUUCUUCCCCGAUGCCGACUGCCCUUCCUUAGCCUCCGGCGCCGAAGCCAAUUCCGCUCUCUCCGGCACCGAUGCCACUCGCAAAGCUACCUCAUACUGUAACAACGCCUCCUCAUAUUUACCUUCACCAAACAACUUAUUCCCUUCGAGUUUCGCCUCAUUCGCUUCAUUUAACUAAAAGAACAAAAAGCAGAAUAUAUAUUGUAAACAGGACAGCUAAAAUAUUGAAGUAUUUUCACACAUUUUCAUUAACUGUAAUGCAUCAUUUGUAACUAAUAAAGAGAAAAUAAAGGGAACUAUAUAUGAGAGUAUCAAGGAGAAUAAUGGAAGAGAUUGUUGUUAGUAACUUGUGGAGAGUAUCAUGGAGCUUGAGAUUAUCUGAUAUGCCCCCGCAAGAGGGUGUUGCCAUUGGCGACACCCAUCUUGAACCUUAAUUCAGAAAAUGGUUGCUUGGAGAGGGGUUUGGUUAGGCUAUUAGCAAGUUGAUCUGCUGCAGAUAUAUAAGAUACGCGCAAUAGCCCUUUGUUGACCCAAUCGCGAACAAAAUGAUAAGCAAGAUCAAUGUGUUUUACCCUUGAAUGAAAGACUGGAUUGCAACACAAAUAGGUAGUUUCAAUAUUAUCACAAUAAAUGGUAGGAGUUUGACUCAAUUGAAGGCCAAGUUCUUGAAGUAGAUUCUGAACCCAUCNNNNNNNNNNNNNNNNNNNNNNNNNNNNNNNNNNNNNNNNNNNNNNNNNNNNNNNNNNNNNNNNNNNNNNNNNNNNNNNNNNNNNNNNNNNNNNNNNNNNNNNNNNNNNNNNNNNNNNNNNNNNNNNNNNNNNNNNNNNNNNNNNNNNNNNNNNNNNNNNNNNNNNNNNNNNNNNNNNNNNNNNNNNNNNNNNNNNNNNNNNNNNNNNNNNNNNNNNNNNNNNNNNNNNNNNNNNNNNNNNNNNNNNNNNNNNNNNNNNNNNNNNNNNNNNNNNNNNNNNNNNNNNNNNNNNNNNNNNNNNNNNNNNNNNNNNNNNNNNNNNNNNNNNNNNNNNNNNNNNNNNNNNNNNNNNNNNNNNNNNNNNNNNNNNUGGCUUAGCUCCACACAUAUUAGUUUUGGAGAGAAGAUCACAUAUAUACUUAUGUUGUGACAAAAACAGACCAGUAGUUGUUGGAAUGACUUCUAUACCCAAAAAGUAGUGUAGAUGGCCAAGGUCCUUAAUUGAGAAUUUCUUUGCUAACAAGUGAACAAAUUUAGAUAGAAAAUUACCAUUGUUGCCAGUGAGGAUAAGAUCAUCAACAUAGACCAAAAAGAAUGCAGUGAUGCCCCCGUGAUUGUAAAUAAAUAAAGAAGCAUCGGAGAUAGCAUUGUGAAAGCCAAUUUGAUGCAAGAAGGAAUAUAGUUCUUGGUACCAGGCACGGGGUGCUUGUUUUAACCCAUAUAAUGCUUUUCGUAACUUGCAAACAUGAUUGGGAAAAUGAUGAUUAGUGAACCCAGGGGGUUGAGACAUGUAAACUGCUUCUGAAAGUGUGCCAUGGAGAAAAGCAUUGUUGACAUCUAGUUGUUGGAGCGGCCAACCAUUAGCAAGAGCAAGACAAAGGAUGAAACGCACGGUUGUAGGCUUGACAACGGGACUGAAAGUUUCGGAGUAGUCAACAUCGACUCGUUGAUGAAAACCUUUGGCGACUAAGCGAGCUUUAUAGCGCUCUAUAGUGCCAUUUGGAUGUCGUUUGAUGCGAAAAAACCAUUUGCAGCCAAUGAUGUUUUGCGAUUGUAAAUAAGGAACUAGUUCCCAUGUCUGAUUUUGGAUUAAAGCUUUAUAUUCACAUAUCAUUGUAGCCUUCCAGUUGGGAUCUUGUAAAGCAUGUGCAACUGAUGUUGGUUCGAAAGUAUUAAGUAGGGGAUGUUUGGUGGUAACGAGAGUGAGUUUAUGUUUAGGCUUGAAGAUAUUAUUUUUCGCUCGAGUUAUCAUAUGGUGGUUUGGCCUAGUUUGCGAUGUUGAAUUGGUUGAGUUGGAAUCUUGAUCUGGUGAGUUUGAGGAUAAAGGUGAUGUAGGCAUGGUGGGCAAAGGAUCUGUCUCGAUGGAUGAAGGACUAGUCGCUGGAGAAUCAGUUAUGGCAUCAACCUGCAAGGAAGUAUUUUGAGUGGCACCAUUAUCUGCAUCAAACGUGUUAGAAGAAGAUACAAGUGGAGAAAAAUUGGCUGCCAUAGAUGGAGUCUAAUUAGAAUAAGAAGAAGUGGAAACACGAGUUUGAGAUAAAUCUAAACCAUGACAAGGAAAAGUAGAUUCAUAAAAAAUAACAUGACGUGAUAUAUACGUACGAUUAGAAACAUGAUCAAAACAUUUAUAGGCACUUUGUGAAGUGCAAUAUCCUAAAAAGAUACAAGCUUUAGACCUAGGUUCCAGUUUGAGUGGAAUAUGGAUGUAGCCAAGGGAAACACUGACAUCCAAAAAUUUUGAGUUUAUUGUAAUUAGGUUCACCACCAAAAAGUGUUUCAUAGGGACUUUUUAACUUAAGAAUAUUAGUGGGUAAGCGAUUAAUCAAAUAUACAGCUGUAUGAAAAGCAUAAGUCCAAAAACGUAUAGAAAGAGAUGCUUGAUGUAGUAAGGUAAGACCUGUUUCUACAAUGUGACGAUGACGUCGUUCACUAGUACCAUUAUGCUCAGGGGUAUAUGGAGUUGAUGUGAGAUGUGAAAUGUCACAUUUACUGAAAAAUGGUUUCAAUUUUAUAAAUUCUCCACCACCAUCUGAGAAAACAGAAACAAUGGAAGUCUUAAAAAAAAUUUCAACUAAGAUUUUAAAAUUGAUAAAGAUAUCGUACACAUCAGAUUUUUGUUUCAUUGGGUAAAACCAAAUAUAUUUUGUAAAAUGAUCCACGAAUAUAACGUAAAAUCGAAAAUUAUCAUGGGAAGUAAUAGGCGCAGGACCCCAAACAUCUGUGUAAAUAAGCUCUAAAAGUUUGGAGCUUGAAAGAGAAUUUUCAACAAAAGGGAGUCUAUGGCUUUUAUAACUAGCACAUGAAUUACAAAAGGAAUCAGAUUUAUUUCGUGUUACCGUCAAAGAAUUUUUAUUAAGAAUAUAUUGUAGAAUCUGAAAUGAAGGAUGGCCUAGUUGUUGAUGCCAAGUAGAAGUUGAAGUUGAUCUUGACGCAAAUACUAAAGGACUUUUGAUUGAAGAAGACAACAAAGGCCACUCGUACACUCCUUCCUUAUUCAGGCCGCGCAUGAGAACUGUUCCCGUUAGCUGAUCCUUCACAAGAAAACACGAGUCAAAAAAUUCAAUUGAGACUUUAUUGGUUUUACAAAGUUCGGAUACAGAGAUCAAUUUUUUUCGGAUACUGGGAACACAUAGUACAUUUGAUAAAGUAAUGGGUUUUGAGGUAGAGGAGAAUGUAAGCGAACCAAUAUGAGAGAUGGGCAAACCUGAGCCAUUGCCUAUUAUUACUUCAUCAGAACCUGUGUAAAGAGCAUGCUGAGAUAAAUUGUUAACGUCAGUAGUGACGUUGUGUGAAGCUGCAGAAUCAAGAAGCCAGGUUGGGUUCGGAUUCAGAGACGGACUGCUGUAGUUGCAUAUUGGGACACCUGGAUAAGGUAUCUGUGUAUUUGUUGAUGUUGCUGUAAAGUUGGCUAUAGGGUUGGAAGUUUGAGCUUGCAAUCUUGCAUAAUAAUUAUAUCNNNNNNNNNNNNNNNNNNNNNNNNNNNNNNNNNNNNNNNNNNNNNNNNNNNNNNNNNNNNNNNNNNNNNNNNNNNNNNNNNNNNNNNNNNNNNNCUAAAGGUUUGGAGCUUGAAAGAGAAUUUUCAGCAAAAGGGAGUCUAUGGCUUUUAUAACAAGCACAUGAAUUACAAAAGGAAUCAGAUUUAUUUCGUGUUACCGUCAAAGAAUUUUUAUUAAGAAUAUAUUGUAGAAUCUGAAAUGAAGGAUGGCCUAGUCGUUGAUGCCAAGUAGAAGUAGAAGUUGAUCUUGAUGCAAAUACUAAAGGACUUUUGAUUGAAGAAGACAAUGAAGGCCACUCGUACACUCCUUCCUUAUUCAGGCUGCGCUUGAGAACUGUUCCCGUUAGCUGAUCCUUUACAAGAAAACACGAGUCAAAAAAUUCAAUUGAGACUUUAUUGGUUUUACAAAGUUCGGAUACAGAGAUCAAUUUUUUUCGGAUACUGGGAACACAUAGUACAUUUGAUAAAGUAAUGGGUUUUGAGGUAGAGGAGAAUGUAAGCGAACCAAUAUGAGAGAUGGGCAAACCUGAGCCAUUGCCUAUUAUUACUUCAUCAGAACCUGUGUAAAGAGCAUGCUGAGAUAAAUUGUUAACGUCAGUAGUGACGUUGUGUGAAGCUACAGAAUCAAGAAGCCAGGUUUGGUUCGGAUUCAGAGACGGACUGCUGUAGUUGCAUAUUGGGACACCUGGAUAAGGUAUCUGUGUAUUUGUUGAUGUUGCUGUAAAGUUGGCUAUAGGGUUGGAAGUUUGAGCUUGCAAUCUUGCAUAAUAAUUAUAUCCAUCAGAACAUUUCUUAGCACUGUGUCCUUUUUGGUGACAAAUUUGACAAGUGCCUUGGUAACCUUUCCUGCGAUUUGGUUGUUGAUUCCAAUUGUUUGAUGGGUAAGGAUUAGGACCUGAGUAUCUUUGGUUAUUUUGGAAGGUUUGAGGUGGAUUUAAACUGGGUGGUCUUGAUGGAAAAAAUGGUUGAAGAGGUGCUCAAGGAUUUUGAGAAUAGUGUGAGAAAUUAUUAUAAUUUCUUUGUGUAGCAUGGGCUGAUAUGACGGGGUUGUAUGGUGUUUCUUCUGUUCGCGAGGAUUGCAAGGAUACUUCGACAUCAACGAGUUUGUCACGCAGGGUAGGGAAAGUAAUUGGUGUGCCUCUAGCUCGAAUAGCUGCAGCAAUUUCUUUGAAUUCAGGUUUGAUCUUUGUGUAGCAUGGGCUGAUAUGACGGGGUUGUAUGGUGUUUCUUCUGUUCGCGAGGAUUGCAAGGAUACUUCGACAUCAACGAGUUUGUCACGCAGGUCAAGGAAAGUAAUUGGUGUGUCUCUAGCUUGAAUAGCUGCAACAAUUUCUUUGAAUUCAGGUUUAAGUCCAUUAAGAAUCAUAACAGUGAGGUCAAUUUCGGAGACCGGAGUAUCAACCAAUGCAAGCUCAUUAGCCAUCGUUUUCAUACUCUGUAAAUACUCAGCUACAGGCCUGUUUUCUUGCUUCAUUCGUGACAUACGGCCUUUGAGAUUAACUACAUGGGUUCUGUUGUGGCUUUGAAAUGUUGAUGUGAGUGUAGUAAGGGCACCGAUGGAGUUUGCAGCUGAAGCAAUAAGAGAAGCAAUUUCUGGUUCUACUGAUGCAAUUAUUGCAUUUAGAAUAAAUUGAUCUUGGUGCUGCUAUAUGGUGUAAGCAAGAUUAAUGGUUGCUUUUCCAUCAUCACCGGUUAUUAUUGGAAGGGGACACUUUAUUGCACCUGUAACAAAACCAUGAAGAUCAUAUCCUAUUAGGACAAUGUUUAAUUGUGCUCUCCAGGUCAUAAAGUUGUAUUGAUUCAACUUGAGAGAAAGUUGUGAGGAUGUAUUUAUAACAAUCAGGUUGCCUGCAGAAUUGAACGCGCCAUCAGAAGAAAAAAAGGCAGCAGACACAGGAGAGGAAGAGGUGAUUAAGGUUGAGCUAGAAGCCAUGUUAUAGGUUUACUCGUAGGAGAAAUUAAUUGCUCUGAUACCAUAAAAGAACAAAAAGCAGAAUAUAUAUUGUAAACAGGACAGCUAAAAUAUUGGAGUAUUUUCACACAUUUCCAUUAACUGUAAUGCAUGUAUUUAUAUACAUCAUUUGUAACUAAUAAAGAGAAAAUAAAGGAAACUAUAUAUGAGAGUAUCAAGGAGAAUAAUGGAAGAGAUUGUUGUUCGUAACUUGUGGAGAGUAUCAUGGAGCUUGAGAUUAUCUGAUAUUAACGCUUUCUACAUAAAAUCAAUCAUUAAUUCAUCAAUCAUUUGCUUCACUAGCUGAAUUUACCAAAACUAGUAAAACUGAAAUGAUAAUAACAAAAUGCGGAAAUGAAAAACUUGGCUCAAUUCGUUGUCGUUUAGAGCAACAGGCUGUUCUCCUCCCCCUCGUUGUCGUCGCUGACGUCGCGUUCGUCGGAUUUGGCUCAUUCAGAUCUCUGAAUGCUGGUUUUAUUUUAUUUUUCUUCUGUUAAUGCAAAUGCAGAUUUGAGUUCAUCGGAUUUGGCUUCGUCCGGUUGGGGGCAUAAUGGCGCUAAUGGCAUAGAAGUAGUAGCUUUUUGUCAUUACUUUCUUCUUCUAAAGUUUUUUUUUCGUUACUUUUUUAUUAUUUUAAUAUUUUAUUUGCAUUAUUUUAAUUUUUAAAAUAAAAAGAGAGAUAGAAGUAGGGAUGGCAAUGGGGAGGGGAGGGGAGGGGACCAAUCUCCCCAUACCCAUCCCCGAUAUUUUACAUAUGUCCCCGUCCCCUCCCCGUCCCCAUCAGAAUUGCUUGAGAGAAUCCCCAUCCCCUCCCCGAAUAAUAACAGGGGAUCCCCGAGGGUCCCCGGUCCCCGAAUAACUAAUAGUCUAAUACAUUUUUUUUAUUUUCGAUUUUAAAUUAAUCAUAUUAAAAUAAACUCAUACCGCUAUUGUAAGCUCGUAACCAACUUUGACAGCACAUUAAGGCCUCCAAUGUGCUUGGAUGAAGUCUGUUAUGGUAUGGGCUCACAACUCUACCACUAGUGUUAAAAGCUGAUUCAGAAGCAACUGUUGUAAUUGGAAUUGCCAAAAUAUCUCUAGCAAUUCGAGCUAAUGUAGGAUACCUAUUAGCAUUUGUCUUCCACCAACUCAAAAUAUUAAAAUCUUCCAUCCGAGAUAUAACUUUCUCAUCCAAAUAUGAAUCUAAUUCAUCUGCAACAACUGCACAAUCUCCAUUGUUUACAUAAUCAUUAAAACCUGUCAUCCAUUUGGUUGCUUUCUUAUAAGAAUCCCCUGUAGAUCUAGUAGAAGAACUACUACCAGUAUAAUCAAAGCAAUAAACAGUUGGUGAAAACUUCAAUUAAUACUCUUCAACUAAUUCCCGGCAAAGGGUGACCACUUUCCCAACAUACAACUAUUUUGAUAUUUAUUAUUUUUAACAAUAUUUAUAAUUUUGUUAUUUAUUUAUUAGUAAUUUUAAAAAUAAAAAUAAAAUUAAAAAUUAAAAUGGGGAAAUGGGUAGGGCUGCUGUACCGUACAUCCGCCUUGGCCGUACAGCAGAUUUAUUGAGAAAAAAAAAGAAGUAAGACCCACAGAAAUGGCAACAGGCGCUGCCGUUUCUGUUGUCCCUUUGUUCGUUUAGCCCCAUUAGUGCUGCUACUUAGACAAUACCACAAUAAAGGGAAGACACGACAGCAUUUCCUAUCCUCCCUCUCUUCUAUUAAGGGCCCAUAAUAAGUUUAAAAAAAUAAUAUAUAAUAGUGCACAUGUGUGAAUAAAGUGAAAACUUUUUUUUUGGCUAUUGGAUAAGAGUUUUAACAUGAUUAUUAAAGUGGAAGGCCAUAACUUUAUAUGCAUCUCUUUUAGUUGUUUAUCACACAACUGAUAUCUGUAUUUCCAGCUCUAUAUUUGCUCGAUUUCAAUAACAUAAAAAAGGGUCAUAAGGAAGAAGAGAGAGAAGUUAGAUCUUGAUUUAUUCAAUAGUGGGAAAAAAAAGUGAAACAAAAUCAAUGGCAAUAGAUCUGCAAACAAAGGCAGCUUGAUAAAAUUGUUGAUAAUUGAUUGAUAAGUUGGUCUCUCUCAUACAUUCAAAUAAAGUUUUUGUUGUGUUCUGUAUAUUUAAAUGGUUAGAAAAAUUUUAAUUUAAAUUGUAAAAAUUCAUAGAUUUGUGCUUUUUAUAUAUUUAAAUUGUUAUGGAUUUUUUUUUUUACUUUCAAUUGUUAGGAAGUGGAAGGCCAUAACUUCAUAUGCAUCUCUUUUAGUUGUUUAUCACACAACUAAUAUCUGCAUUUCCAGCUCUGCUUUUGCUUGAUUUCAAUAACAUAAAAAAAAGCAGCCAUAAGGAAGAAGAGAGAGAAGUUAGAUCCGGAUUUUUUCAAUAACAGAAAAAAAAAAGUAAAACAAAACCAAUGGUAAUAGAUCUGCAAACAGAGGCAACUUCAUAAAAUUGUUGUUAAUUGAUUGGUAAGUUGGUCUCUCUCAUACAUUCAAAUAAAGUUUUUGUUGUGUUCUGUAUAUUUAAAUUGUUAGAAUGUUUUUAAUUUAAAUUGUAAAAAUUCGUAGAUUUGUGCUUUUUAUAUAUUUAAAUUGUUAUGAUUUUUUUUUUUUACUUUCAAUUGUUAGGAAGUGGAAGGCCAUAACUUCAUAUGCAUCUCUUUUAGUUGUUUAUCACACAACUAAUAUCUGCAUUUCCAGCUCUGCUUUUGCUUGAUUUCAAUAACAUAAAAAAAAGCAGCCAUAAGGAAGAAGAGAGAGAAGUUAGAUCCGGAUUUUUUCAAUAACAGAAAAAAAAAAGUAAAACAAAACCAAUGGUAAUAGAUCUGCAAACAGAGGCAACUUCAUAAAAUUGUUGUUAAUUGAUUGGUAAGUUGGUCUCUCUCAUACAUUCAAAUAAAGUUUUUGUUGUGUUCUGUAUAUUUAAAUUGUUAGAAUGUUUUUAAUUUAAAUUGUAAAAAUUCGUAGAUUUGUGCUUUUUAUAUAUUUAAAUUGUUAUGAUUUUUUUUUUUACUUUGAAUUGAUAAGAAGUAAUGGAUUAAAUUUAUAGCAAUUUUCUGGAUGUGUUUUAUAUAUGUUAGGAUUUUUUUAAUUUAAAUUACUGGAAAUAAUAGAAUAAAUUAUAACAAUUUAUGGAUGUGUUUUAUAUAUUUAAAUUGUUAGGAUUUUUUAAUUUAAAUUGUUGGAGAUAAUGGAAUAAAUUAUAAAAAUUUGUGGAUGUGUUUUAUAUUUAAAUUGUUAGGAUUUUUUGUUACUGGACAAGAAUAUUGUAAAAGUUUCUAAUUACUUAUUCUUAAUACAAAUGUUAAUUAUUUUGUAGAAAUUGAGAAUUUGGAAAAUGAGCAUGCAUUUGAAGAGUUGCAAGAAACAUGAGUCAACAAUGUAGAUGAAAUUGUGCAACCGAAAAAAUAUGAGCCAACUCUUGGAAUAUUAUUUAAUAGUCAUGAAGAAAUGUUUGCAUUUUACAAAGUUUAUGGUAAAACAAAAAGAGUUUCAUGUAAAGGUUUGAACUCCUAAGAAAAGGGACUGAUAGAAUUGUAAAGUAUGCGACAUUUGCAUGUGGCCGCAGCGGAAAAUCAGAAUGGAAAUCUACUAAUGUAUUGAAGCAGAAACUUGAUGUGAAAAAUGGUUGUGAUGCAUAAAUUGGAGGUUGUCUAAAUGAAGAUGGAAAAUGGGUUCUUCGAACUUUAAAUCUUCAAUACAACCAUGAAUUGAGUGUAGACAAAUUUAGGUAUUAAACAAAAUCAAACAAAUUAACGAACAAAAAUAGUUCCUCUAUGGAAGGAAAGUGAGAGGGAGAGAGUAUGUACGAGUGAGAGGUGACGACAAAAGAAAUUUGCAAAAAAAAGUCUACAAAAUUCGUAGAUUUAUUAGCUCUGUGCUGCAUCAACGACAAAUAAAAAUCUGCAAGGUUAGUUGGCGUGGUCACAGUAGAGAAGAGAUAAGGUUGGUUAGCCGGUUCUGUGAUGAUAGAGAAGAGAUGAAAAAUCACAAAAUUUAUUUUGUGAAAGACAAUUAGAGAUAAGGUAAAGAAAAGAUAAGGUUUGCUCUGAUAUCAUUUUUGGACUUCUCUUUUUUUUUUAUAUAUUUACUUUUUUAAAGUAAAUGUAGGCCCACAAAAAGGAAAUGAUAAAUGAAUGAAAUGAUAGCAAGUGGCUUCAAACAAAAUUCAAGCUACAAGUACAAGUCUAACUCAUAAUAAAAAAUUAUCUCAAGGAUUGAGAGUCAUCGUAAGUUCAUGUCAUUAGUCCAAUAAUUACUCUCAACACGAUAAUCUUCUCAACUCUAUUUGUCAAAGACCACAAAAUUGUUGACAAUUAAACCAAAUCAACCUCAAGUCCUCAUCAUCAGUUUCAAUCUAACUCUAAGGGAUCAAGAUUCUCUCCUGAUCUGAUCUCCUCCUGAUUAAAAAUAUAUGUGGUGAUUGAUAGUUAAUGAAUAAAAAAAAUAAAGAAAUUAAAUCAUAUUUAUACACUAUUACUUAAAGACACAUGACAUAAGAUCUUUAAAAACCCAUGAGAGCUUAGAUCAGGAGAGGGUCAUUGUCCAACUCUAAGACUAAGACAAAGGCUAAAGAGACUCGUGGCUGUUGCAUCAACUCUACCCCAUUCGAGAUCAAUACUUUGAUGAAAAAAUUGUAGCAGAGCUACCAAACUUGAGUAAUACAAAUUCAAAUAUGUUAGAUGACAGGGCAGCAUACUUAGCAUUUAUUAGUGUUCCGAAAGUUUAAAGUGGUCAGCCUUAUCUCUUAUCUUAUGAUUAAUUCAAGUUUUUUACUUUUACAUUUAUCAAGAUCAAGAUAAAGAUAACUAUUGUGAUGGCUUAUCGUGUUUCUUGUAAAGCACUAUAAAUGUAAUGAUUAUGUGGAGAAUUAAAUAUAACAAAAAAAAAGGUGCUUUAUUUCUUUUCCAAAAGGUGCUUUAUUUCUUUUCCAAGCCCAUCUUUAUAAUUCUAGUGUACAUAUUGAUCCGGUACCUAAAUUAUUCAAUAGCCAUAUUUGCAUUGAGCGUGAAUGUGACUUUGAAAUUUUAGAAAACCAAACAACUUGGAUAAGGUAGUUGAUUCCGUGUGUGGAAUAAAAGAAACUUAUCUCAAAACACUGACUUUAAACGCAAGCUCAUCGGUAUACAUAUGUCCGAAAUGAACUCAUUUUUCUUUUACCACAAGAAUUCUGAAGUCUUAGAGCCCCCAACCCCAAGGUAUAUGGGUACUUUCUUUUCUUGUUAAUUAAGGCAUGAUUUGAUUUGCUAGCUUUGUGUUGUGCACAGUAUCAGAGAUAACUAUAUCUAUUAUCCUGUAUAUUCUUAUUUUUUGUGGCCAUCGGAUGCAUGCAGGUGGUGACACAAUGGAAACAAUUCACGUAAAAGAGUCAACAAUAAUACGGCCUGCUCAAGAAACCCCCAGACAUUGCCUACGGUUGAGUGAUUUAGACCUGCUGAUGCCGGCAAGUCACAUCCCCAGUGUGUAUUUCUACCGAGGGCCAAAUUACCCUUGCAAUUUCUUUGAAGGUGGUUUACUGAAGGAGGCUUUGAGUAAAGUUCUUGUCCCGUUUUACCCCUUGGCCGGAAGAUUGGGUAAAGAUGAAAAUGGCAGAAUUGAAAUAAAAUGCAAAGGAGAGGGAGUUUUAUUUAUUGAAGCUGAAACGAGUUAUGUCACUGAUGAUUUUGGUGACUUUGAAUCAAGCUCGAAGCUCGUGCAACUUGUUCCACCUGUUGAUCGCACGAAAGAUGCAUGUUUUCAUCCACUUAUUAUGGCACAGGUAGAAGAAUAAGAAUAAAAAGAGAGCUCGUGUAUUUCCUCAUUUUAUUAAAAAUGAAAUUAGGAGCUAUUCCAUCAAAAGAAUUAUUCAUAAUACUCACUCAAACUUAGUCACUUUAUUUCUUUAUAGGUAACUCAUUUUAAGUGUGGAGGAGUUUCUCUUGGACUUAUGAUGCAUCAUCUGCCAAUGGACGGAACUACGGCAUAUCACUUCAUGAACUCAUGGGCUGAGAUGUCGCGUGGCAUUCCUAUUAGCGUUCCACCAAUCUUUGAUCGAACUAUACUAGAUGUUGGAGUCCCAACUUCUCCAUCAUUUCACCACAUCGAACACGAUCCCCCUCCUUUCAUGAAUAGUCCUACUCAAAAUCCUCAAGCCAUUUCCACUGCAAUCCUGAAAUUAUCACCUGAUCAAAUGAACAUCCUUAAAGAAAAAUCUAAGGGAGAUCACGGAUCCACCGUCAAGUAUACUAGAUUUGAGAUUGUAGCAGCACAUAUAUGGCGCUGCGCAUGUAAAGCACGAGGGUUGUCUAUUGAUCAAGCUACCAAGUUAGAGAUUCCCACAUCUGGGCGAUUUAAAUUGAAUCCUAAAAUUCCACUUGGGUAUUGUGGCAAUGUAAACUUCAGCGCCACACCAAUGGCCUUGUCAGGUGAUAUUCAAUCGGAAUCGUUAAAUUGUACAACAGAGAGAAUUCAUGAAGCAAUUAAAUUGAGGGAUGACAAGUAUAUGAAGUCAGGGCUUGCCUACCUAAAGCAACAACCUGAUUUAACAGUUAUCAGGCGAGACCCCAAAAUUAUUAAUUGUCCAAACCUGCUGAUAACCAAAGUAGCAGACAUGCCUAUGUACGAGGUAGAUUUUGGAUGGGGUCGGCCGGUGUUUACGACGCCUUGGGCCGCCGUGGACGGAGAGAUUUUCAUUUUACCUGGUCCAACCAAUGAUGGGAGCUGGUUGGUGGUUGUAGACAUGGAAACUAACCACUUGCAGCACUUCAACAAGUAUUUUUAUGAUAUCUUUCCGUAAUCCCACGAUGUAAUAAUGUCUUUGGGUGGAUACUUACGAUUGGGUCCGCCUUCGUUACACUUAAUGUAACUUACGGUGAGUCUGUGAAGUUUCAUCUAAUCUCCUAUGUUCUAUGUAAUUUAUAUUUUAUUCAUGAAUAUUAUAAACUUUUUGAAAUGUCAAAUUUCGUUUAACCCCUUAUACUCAAUUUUAUUUUAUUGAAAUCUUAGAGUAUGAAUUCGCCUCUAUAAUUUUAAACUCUCAAAAUAAUUUUUAUUUAAUUAAAAAAUAUAAUUAUUGUUAAAUGAAUUAUAAUUAUAAUUAUUAUUUUAUUAUAAUCAUAAACUGCUGUACUAUAAUCAUAAAUAUUUUUUAAAUAAAUUAUUAUUAUUAUUAAUAAUAAGAAUAAAAGAUAUUAUAAUUAAUUAAUCUAUUAACAAUAAUUAAUAAUAUUUUUUAACCCGUAAACACCGGCCGACCCCAUGCAAAAUCUACCUCGUACAUAGGCAUGUCUGCUACUUUGGUUAUCAGCAGGUUUGGACAAUUGACCCUCUUAUUAUUUGCUGAUAUGUUUCUAAUAAUGAACCCCCUUUUGUCCUUUUGAAAUGAUUAAUGAAGUGCUUGAGUGCAUUGAAGUUAUUUUAAAAGUACACAUAAAGAUUUGACAUUUACUUAUUUUUUAAAAAUAAAAAAGCAGGUAAAAUUUAAAUUAAUUUUUUAUUUCUUAUUUUUUAAUUCAGAUUGUCAAUUGAAUCCAUUUGUUAAAAAAUUAUUUAAUUAUCUCUUUAUGUUCGAACGAUGAUGACUUUAAAUAAUAAUUCUUACAAAUCACUCAAUUAAGUCCACCGGGCCAAUUAAAUAUUAUUUGUUUAUAUUAAUUUUAAUUCAAUUGAAAUUCCAUAGUAAUUUAACCUAAAGUUUAACACUCACAAAUAAUUUAUAGUUCAUUGUAAUUCCACAAAAUUAUUAGUUCUUGUAAUUUAAAUUAUUUUAAGGAAUUGAAUCAUAAUAUUUUGAAUUUAAUUCAAUCUUUCACGUGACUUUGUUGAAUAAAACUGACGGAUGUGUUUUAUAUAUUUAAAUUGUUAGGAUUUUUUUAAUUUAAAUUGUUAGAAAGUAAUGGAUUAAAUUUAUAGCAAUUUCUGGAUGUGUUUUAUGUAUGUUAGGAUUUUUCUAAUUUAAAUUGUUGGAGAUAAUGGAAUAAAUUAUAAAAAUUUGUGGGUGUGUUUUAUAUAUUUAAAUUGUUAUGUUAAUGGACAAAAUGUUAUAAAAGUUUCUAAUUACUUAUUCUUAAUACAAAUGUUAAUUAUUUUGUAGAAAUGGAGAAUUUGGAAAAUGAGCAUGCAUUUGAAGAGUUGCAAGAAACAAGAGCCAACAAUGUAGAUAAAAUUAUGCAACCGAAAAAAUAUGACCCAACUCUUGGGAUAUUAUUUAAUAGUCAUGAAAAAAUGUUUGCAUUUUACAAAGUCUAUGAUAAAUAAGAAGGGUUCCUGUAAAGGUUCGAACUACUAAGAAAGUGACUGAUGAAAUUGUAAAAUAUGCGACAUUUGCAUGUGGUCGUAGCGACAAGUUAGAAAGGAAAUCUGUUAAUGCAUUGAAGCCGAAACCUAAUGUGAAAAAUGGUUGUGAUGCAAAAAUUGGAGGUUGUCUAAAUGAAGAAGGAAAAUGGGUCCUUCGAACUUUAAAUCUUCAACACAACCAUGGAUUGAGUCCAGACAAAGCUAGGUAUUACACAAAAUCAAACAAAUUAACGAACUAAAAUAGUUCCUCUAUGGAAGGAAAGUGAGAGGGAGAGAGUAUAUACAAAUGAGAGGUGACGGCAAAAGAAAUUUGCAAAAGAAAGUCUGCAAAAUUUGUAGAUCUAUUGGCUUUGUGCUGCAUCGACGGCAAAGGAAAAUCUACAAGGUUGGUUGGCAUGGUCACGGUAGAGAAGAGAUAAGGUUGGUUAGCCGGUUCUGUGAUGGUAGAGAAGAGAUAAAAAAAUCGUAAAAUUGAUUUUGUGAAAGACAAUUAGAGAUAAAGUAGAGACGGUUGAGAAGAAAUAAGGUUUGAUCUGAUAUCCUUUUCAGACUUCUCUUUUAUUUUUUUAUUAAUAUUUAUUUUUUUUUUAAAGUAACUAUGGGCCCAUGAAGAGAAAAUGAUAAGUGAACGAAACGCAACGAGUGGCUUUAUUUCUUUUUCGAGCCCGUUUUAUAAUUAAAGUGUACAUAUUGAUUAGGUGGCUAAAUUAUUCAAUAACCAUAUUUAAAUGUAGCGCAGCGUGAAUGUUACUUUGAAAUUUUAGAAAAUCAAACAACUUGGAUAAGGUAAUUGAUUCCGCGUGUGGAAUAAAAAAAACUUAUCUCAAAAUAUUGGCUUUAAACGCAAGUUCAUCGGUAUACAUAUGUCCGAAAUGAACUCAUUUUUCAUUUACCAUAAGAAUUCUGAAGUCUUAGAGCUCCCAACCCCCAGGUAUAUGGGUACUUUCUUUUCUUGCUAAUUAAGGCAUAAUUUGAUUUGUGUUGUGCAUAGUAUCAGAGUUAACUAUAUCUAUUAUCCUGUAUAUUCUUAUUUUUCGUGGCCAUCGGAUGCAUGCAGGUGGUGACACAAUGGAAACAAUUCACGUAAAAGAGUCAACAAUAAUACGGCCUGCUCAAGAAACCCCCAGACAUUGCCUACGGUUGAGUGAUUUAGACCUGCUGAUGCCGGCAAGUCACAUCCCCAGUGUGUAUUUCUACCGAAUUACUUAUUCUUAAUACAAAUGUUAAUUAUUUUGUAGAAAUGGAGAAUUUGGAAAAUGAGCAUGCAUUUGAAGAGUUGCAAGAAACAAGAGCCAACAAUGUAGAUAAAAUUAUGCAACCGAAAAAAUAUGACCCAACUCUUGGGAUAUUAUUUAAUAGUCAUGAAAAAAUGUUUGCAUUUUACAAAGUCUAUGAUAAAUAAGAAGGGUUCCUGUAAAGGUUCGAACUACUAAGAAAGUGACUGAUGAAAUUGUAAAAUAUGCGACAUUUGCAUGUGGUCGUAGCGACAAGUUAGAAAGGAAAUCUGUUAAUGCAUUGAAGCCGAAACCUAAUGUGAAAAAUGGUUGUGAUGCAAAAAUUGGAGGUUGUCUAAAUGAAGAAGGAAAAUGGGUCCUUCGAACUUUAAAUCUUCAACACAACCAUGGAUUGAGUCCAGACAAAGCUAGGUAUUACACAAAAUCAAACAAAUUAACGAACUAAAAUAGUUCCUCUAUGGAAGGAAAGUGAGAGGGAGAGAGUAUAUACAAAUGAGAGGUGACGGCAAAAGAAAUUUGCAAAAGAAAGUCUGCAAAAUUUGUAGAUCUAUUGGCUUUGUGCUGCAUCGACGGCAAAGGAAAAUCUACAAGGUUGGUUGGCAUGGUCACGGUAGAGAAGAGAUAAGGUUGGUUAGCCGGUUCUGUGAUGGUAGAGAAGAGAUAAAAAAAUCGUAAAAUUGAUUUUGUGAAAGACAAUUAGAGAUAAAGUAGAGACGGUUGAGAAGAAAUAAGGUUUGAUCUGAUAUCCUUUUCAGACUUCUCUUUUAUUUUUUUAUUAAUAUUUAUUUUUUUUUUAAAGUAACUAUGGGCCCAUGAAGAGAAAAUGAUAAGUGAACGAAACGCAACGAGUGGCUUUAUUUCUUUUUCGAGCCCGUUUUAUAAUUAAAGUGUACAUAUUGAUUAGGUGGCUAAAUUAUUCAAUAACCAUAUUUAAAUGUAGCGCAGCGUGAAUGUUACUUUGAAAUUUUAGAAAAUCAAACAACUUGGAUAAGGUAAUUGAUUCCGCGUGUGGAAUAAAAAAAACUUAUCUCAAAAUAUUGGCUUUAAACGCAAGUUCAUCGGUAUACAUAUGUCCGAAAUGAACUCAUUUUUCAUUUACCAUAAGAAUUCUGAAGUCUUAGAGCUCCCAACCCCCAGGUAUAUGGGUACUUUCUUUUCUUGCUAAUUAAGGCAUAAUUUGAUUUGUGUUGUGCAUAGUAUCAGAGUUAACUAUAUCUAUUAUCCUGUAUAUUCUUAUUUUUCGUGGCCAUCGGAUGCAUGCAGGUGGUGACACAAUGGAAACAAUUCACGUAAAAGAGUCAACAAUAAUACGGCCUGCUCAAGAAACCCCCAGACAUUGCCUACGGUUGAGUGAUUUAGACCUGCUGAUGCCGGCAAGUCACAUCCCCAGUGUGUAUUUCUACCGACGGCCAAAUUACCCUUCCAAUUUGUUUGAAGGUGGUUUACUGAAGGAGGCUUUGAGUAAAGUUCUUGUCCCGUUUCACCCAUUGGCCGGAAGAUUGGGUAAAGAUGAAAAUGGCAGAAUUGAAAUAAAAUGUAACGGAAAGGGAGUUUUAUUUAUUGAAGCUGAAACGAGUUGUGUCACUGAUGAUUUUGGUGACUUUGAAUCAUGCUUGAAGCUCGUGCAACUUGUUCCACCUGUUGAUCGCACGAAAGAUGCAUAUUUUCAUCCACUUAUUAUGGCACAGGUAGAAGAAUAAGAAUAAAAAGAGAGCUCGUGUGUUUCCUCAUUUUAUUAAAAUGAAAUUGAGAGCUACUCCAUCAAAAGAAUUAUUCAUAAUACUCACUCAAACUUAGUCACUUUAUUUCUUUAUAGGUAACUCAUUUUAAGUGUGGAGGAGUUUCUCUUGGACUUAUGAUGCAUCAUCUGCCAAUGGACGGAACUACGGCAUAUCACUUCAUGAACUCAUGGGCUGAGAUGUCGCGUGGCAUUCCUAUUAGCGUUCCACCAAUCUUUGAUCGAACUAUACUAGAUGUUGGAGUCCCAACUUCUCCAUCAUUUCACCACAUCGAACACGAUCCCCCUCCUUUCAUGAAUAGUCCUACUCAAAAUCCUCAAGCCAUUUCCACUGCAAUCCUGAAAUUAUCACCUGAUCAAAUGAACAUCCUUAAAGAAAAAUCUAAGGGAGAUCACGGAUCCACCGUCAAGUAUACUAGAUUUGAGAUUGUAGCAGCACAUAUAUGGCGCUGCGCAUGUAAAGCACGAGGGUUGUCUGUUGAUCAAGCUACCAAGUUAGA
rnacentral:lncRNA from 1 species